rnacentral:rRNA from 1 species
UACAGAGGGUGCAAGCGUUGUUCGGAAUUAUUGGGCGUAAAGGGCGCGUAGGCGGUGCUGUAAGUCUGUAGUGAAAUCUCUGGGCUCAACUCAGAGUCUGCUAUAGAAACUGCAGUGCUGGAGUGUGGGAGAGGUGAGUGGAAUUCCCGGUGUAGCGGUGAAAUGCGUAGAUAUCAUUUGGAACGCCAAUGGUGAAAACAGCUCGCUGGGAAUGAUCUGACACUGAGACGCGAAAGCCAGGGGAGCGAACGGG